CUAUAAUUUUUGACCGCCUAUCUAUUAGAAUUAUAUGAGUGAGACAAAAGUGACUGUAUAUAUAAUUUUUGAGAAAAAAAUUAGUAAAACCUAAACCUAAUCUCUCUAUUAACUCACCGCCUCUCUUUAUUCUUGCCACCUCUAUCUCUUCUGCUCUCUUCUUUCCACAACGCUUCUGCCUUCUAUUCUUCUUAUCUUAUCAUCUUCUCCUUAAUCUCUUCAUUUUAUUCUUCUUAUCACUGUUCUCAAUUUUCUUGCCUUCUUGCAUGGAAAUGAUAGCAUCCCACUGCCAUUGGAGCUUGCAUAUUAAAUGGUAGCAUUGCCCAUGGUUAUAGUGCCACCGACGACAACAAUAGAGACUCUGUACAAAAUUUUCAGAAUUAAGCAUUAUGAAAUACGAAGACAGCAGUGACAGUUUCGAGAGGCCAUUCUGCUACUGUGGGAUUCCAUCUAAGCUAAGAAUUUCGGGCAAGGCUACUAGUUUUGGUAGGCGCUUUUACAACUGUCCAAACUAUAAAAUCAAGAAGCAAUGUGGAUUCUUUGAAUGGGUUGAUCUUGAAAUGGAACUAAAUACAUGUUGCAAGUUGACGUUAGAGCUAGCUCAAAGAAGGAACGACAUAUUAAACUAAGAACGUGUAAUCACUGAACAAGCCAAAUUUACCGCUAUGGAGAAGAAGUAUAAGGGAACGCUAAAAGCUUUAUUGUUGUCAUGGUCUUUGUACUGACUUGGGCUGUAAUAAUCUUGUAUCGUAGCAACAAUUAUGUAUGUAGGCCAAUAGUUACAACCUAUGGGUAUUAGGCUGUUUGCGAAUUACCACCUGUAUUUUUGUUGAAACUAGUACUUUUGGGAUGUAAUGAUACUUAUGUUAGAAAUGUAAUGAUACUUAUGUUGUAAUUUC